CCGGGAGCAGCCGGGACUCCGUGCGCGCGACGGGUUCGCGGUCCGCCGACGCCUCCUCGCGCCGCGGCUCGGACUCCGCGCCCCCGCGC
rnacentral:tRNA from 1 species